AGAAGAAGCCAAUAGGUCCCCGCGCUGCAUCGUGUUGGCCUCCUCUUCGACUCCUCCCAAUGCCGAUGCGCAGAAAACGGCGGCCGGGGGGCCGGAGUCCUCGCCCAGUCGCCCUUUCUUCCUUCCUCUCUCCGGCGAUUUCGGCAGCAGGCAGGCCCGAUCUCUCACUCUCUCUCGCUCUCUUUCCGUCCAGUGGAUGGUCGACUGAGGUUGGCCAACCGCCGGCGACCGGAGAGGCGGGGGCGGAAGGCUACGCCUACGCGGGCAUUGGAGGAGAGCUUUCUUCCCCUUCCAGCGCCGGCGGCGUGCGCAUGGCGGAGGGGGAAGGCGCCGGCGGCCUCUCGGUGAUAGCUGCUGUCGUGAUAUUCUGUAUGAUUGAAGGAAGCCCCGGAGGCCGGGAAGGGGAUUCAUCUUAAGAGACAUAUUGAUACUGUUCUGGGUCUGCAGCAAAGUAAUGAGGUUGACCUCAGUUGAGCCUCAGCUGAAUUUUGAGAAAGAUUUUUCAGGUGCACACAUCUGACUGGAUCUGAAUUACAUUUAUGUCUUCCGGAGAUCUAUGUUCUGCAUCACAGAGGUGAGAGGCAGCAGGGAUGCAGUUGCCCAUGCGCACUGAAGUCAUUACACUAUUCAGAUUAAAGAUUUGCAGUCAGAGCCUAGGAUAGAUUCAUUCUUCUAUGCGAACAGGCAGAGAGAGCAGCAAUGUUUGAUAAUACCAAAUGAGCAAACUGCGUACUCCGUAUUAAUUGUACCUAGUGACCCUAGCAUCUAAAUGUACAUAUACUCCGACUUCUAAGCAUCAUCUGCUGGAACGUGCCAUUCGUUUCUUGGCUGGAGAAUUCAAAAAAAAAUCAAGAAUUCUACCCCGACGUUAAAAUCAGGCAUACUAUUCAGAUUACAUGGUGGAGAAGAGGAAGCGAUCAAAAUUCCAGAGACGAGCGGCCAAGAGAGAAGGUGACAAAGUCAAGUCUUGAGCGCGAGAAUAUCUUUCGGAGAGAGAACUAAAAAGAUACUGAUGAGAAAAUUCAAGGUGUACAGAUAGUUUGUCACGCCGGAAGGCUAUAAAUUCAACGGAUACCAAAAACAAAAAGAUUAUACAUCAUCUUCCAUCUGCCAAGAGGUUGGAUAUUGAGCCAAAGCUCUGCAUCAUCGGCGAUGGAUAUGAUGACAUCCUGGACGAGUCAACCAGCUGGCCUUCAUUCUGCAUCAAGGACAACAUGCCA